GACGAACGCUGGCGGCGUGCCUAAUACAUGCAAGUCGAACGCUUCUUUCCUGCCGUUUCCUUGCACUCAAUUGGGACGAGGAGGGGCGGACGGGGGAGUAACCCGUCGUUAACCUACCCAACAGCGGGGGAAAACCCUUGGAAACAGGUGCUAAUAUCUCAUAACAGUUUAUGCAUCAUUGCAUAAGAGUGCUAGUGUCUUUCGGCGUUCGCUGCUGGAUGGACCCGCGUUGCCUUAGCUAGGUGGUAAGGUAACGGCUUACCAAGGGGACGAUGCAUAGCCGACCUGAGAGGGUGAUCGGCCACACUGGAACUGAGACACGGUCCAGACUCCUACGGGAGGCAGCAGUAGGGAAUCUUCGGCAAUGGACGAAAGUCUGACCGAGCAACGCCGCGUGAGUGAAGAAGGUUUUCGGAUCGUAAAACUCUGUUAUUAGAGAAGAACAAAGGCGUUAGUAACUGAACGUGCCCUGACGGUAUCUAACCAGAAAGCCACGGCUAACUACGUG
rnacentral:rRNA from 1 species